ensembl:rRNA 5S_rRNA 5S ribosomal RNA
AGAAGCGCUCAAGUCACCCUGCAGCCCAAGACUGGUCUUCCACUGAAGCUAAGCAGGGUUGAGCUGAUCAGUACUUGGACGGGAGACCUCCUGGGAAAACUAGGUUGCUGCUG